rnacentral:rRNA from 1 species
ACGGAGGCAGCAGUGGGGAAUAUUGGGCAAUGGGCGAAAGCCUGACCCAGCAACGCCGCGUGAAGGAAGAAGGUCUUCGGAUUGUAAACUUCUUUUAUGAGGGACGAAGGACGUGACGGUACCUCAUGAAUAAGCCACGGCUAACUACGUGCCAGCAGCCGCGGUAAUACGUAGGUGGCAAGCGUUAUCCGGAUUUACUGGGUGUAAAGGGCGCGUAGGCGGGAGAGCAAGUCAGAUGUGAAAUCCAUGGGCUUAACCCAUGAACUGCAUUUGAAACUGUUCUUCUUGAGUGCUGGAGAGGUAGACGGAAUUCCUUGUGUAGCGGUGAAAUGCGUAGAUAUAAGGAAGAACACCAGUGGCGAAGGCGGUCUACUGGACAGUAACUGACGCUGAGGCGCGAAAGCGUGGGGAGCAAACAGGAUUAGAUACCCUGGUA